CUCAGCUCUUACUGAGACAGUGGCGCGGCUGCUCCUCUGUUGGUUUUCCUUGGUCUCUUGUGUUCUGGGGGCCUCUGGAUGUCUGGAGUUUUGAUCUCCUCCAUACCUGCUUCAUAUCCUGGAGGACGGGGCUGUGGCCCCCCUCCACACUCCCUAGCAGAUCGUUACAUGGAGAAACCUUUGGAAUGCAAGCAUGCUGAUCCACACAGGUGUGCACACAGGUGUACACACGGGUAUUCACAGACGCGGACUACAGCUUUCUUGGCUGCUGCCUCAAAGCACAUUGUGCACUGUCUAUCGUGCGUGCUGCACAAUAUCGUUUAUUAUUUAGUAUCUACUGUUAUCUACUGCUAGCUAGUUUAUUGUGAUGGUGCCGUUUUUUUAUUAUGUUGCUCUUUGUUGUUUGCUUUCUCUUCUGUUUUUUUUGUCCAUACAGGUGACCCAGGUGUUUUGUUUGUUUUUCCUUUCUCUUUUUUUCUUUCUUCCCCCCCUUCUCACCGUCUCUUCUCCCCUUUGGUUUUCUUUCUCUCCCUCUCUUUCUUUCAUUCUUUCUCCCUAUCCAAUCCCCCAGUCAUGUCUGUCCCGUUUGUAGCAACUGAAAAUAAAAUAAAUUCAUAAUUAUAAUAAAGGUCAAUCAAAUGGACCAAUAUGGCAAGGCCAUGAUGAUCCACUUAGUAAAAUAAAUCCGCUUGGCAUCUUUCUUGGCCUUAAGACAACAAUUCUGAUGGCUAAAGAUCCAAACGGGACACAAAAAAAGAAAAAAAAAACAAAAAAACAACAACUACAAACACUAGUGAAGUGAAUGGGCAUUUAAUUAAAUAAUAAUAGAUUUAAUUCAAUAAUUAAUGGCAUAUUUAAUUAAUUCAUUUUGUCACUCCUGGCCCUCCACACCUCACUGCCAUGAUUGUUUGUGUAGUUAUUGGAUUCUAAAACUACUAGAAUAGAAUAGAAAACACAUAAGAUGCAGUCUCUGUUUUUUCUUCACCUUAUUAAUUUGAACUGAACUGAAAUAAAUCCGUUCUUUUCUGUAUGGUAAUCAGUGUUGGUCAAGUUACUUGAAAAAAGUAAUCGGUAACUAAUUACCGAUUACUUCCCCCAAAAAGUAUUCCCGUUACUUUACUGAUUACUUAUUUUCAAAAGUAAUUAAUUACUUAGUUACUUAGUUACUUUUUAAAAACACGAUUUACAACCUGAAUAGGUGAUAAAGCG
ensembl:lncRNA